CCCUUUCUUUUCAAGAUGCCUGAGGAAGUAGACCAUGGAGAGGAGGAGGUGGAGACUUUUGCCUUUCAGGCAGAAAUUGCCCAACUCAUAUCUCUCAUCAUCAAUACAUUCUAUUCCAACAAGGAAGUUUUCUUUGGGAGUUGAUCUCCAAUGCUUCUGAUGCCUUGAACAAGAUUCACUAUGAGAGCCUGACAGACCCUUCCAAGUUGGACAGUGGGAAAGAGCUGAAAACUGACAUCAUCCCAAACCCUCAGGAACACACCCUGACUUUGGUGGACACAGGCGUUGGUAUGUCCAAGGCUGACCUCAUAAACAACUUGGGAACCUUUGCCAAGUCUGGUAUUAAAGCAUUUAUGGAGGCUCUUCAGGCUGGUGCAGACAUCUCCAUGAUUGGGCAGUUUGGUGUUAGGUUUUAUUCUGCUUAUCUGGUGGCAGAGAAGGUGGUGAUCACAAAGCACAAUGACAACAAGCAGUAUGCCUGGGAGUCUUCUGCUGGGGGUUACCUCACUGUUCGUGCUGACCAUGAUGAGUCCAUUGGCUGAGGUACCAAAGUGAUCCUCCACCUCAGAGAAGAUCAUACAGAGUACUUAGAGGAGAGGCAGGUCAAAGAAGUGGUAAAGAAGCACUCGCAGUUCAUGGGCUAUCCCAUCACCCUCUAUUUGGAAAAGGAACGGGAGAAGGAGAUCAGUGAUGACGAGGCAGAGGAAGAGGAAGGUGAGAAAGAGGAGGAAGAUAAGGAUGAGAGAAGAAGCCCAAGAUUGAAGAUGUGGGCUCAGAUGAGGAAGAUGACAGUGGUAAGGAUAAGAAAAAGAAAACCAAGAAGAUUAAGGAGAAAUACAUUGAUCAGGAAGAACUGAACAAGACCAAGUCCAUUUGGACAAGGAACCCUGAUGACAUCACUCAGGAAGAAUAUGGAGAAUUCUACAAGAGCCUCACUAAUGACUGGGAAGAUCACGUGGCAGUUAAACACUUCUCUGUAGAAGGUCAGCUGGAAUUCAGGGCAUUGCUCUUUGUUCCCCUUUGACCUUUUUGAGAACAAGAAGAAGAAGAACAACAUCAAACUUUACAUCCACCAUGUGUUUAUUAUGGAUAGCUGUGAUGAGUUGAUACCAGAGUAUCUGAACUUUAUUCGAGGUGUGGUUGAUUCUGAGCACUUACCCCUGAAUAUCCCCCGAGAAAUGCUCGAGCAGAGCAAAAUCUUGAAAGUCAGCACAAAAACAUUGUGAAGUGCCUUGAGCUCUUUUCUGAGCUGGCAGAGAAAAGGAGAACUACAAGAAAAGAAAAAAAAAAGAAGUUCUAUGAGGCAUUCUCUAAGAACUAAAGCUUGGAAUUCAUAAGGACUCCACCAAUCGACGACUGCUUUCUGAGCUGCUGAGCUAUCUCACCUCUCAGUCUGGAGAUGAGAUGACUUCCCUGUCAGAGUCUGUCUCUCCAUUAAAGGAGACUCAGAAGUCCAUCUACUACAUCACAGGCAAGAGUGAAGAGCAGGUGGCCAACUCAGUCUUCGUAGAGCAGUUGAGGAAGCCCGGCUUUGAGGUGGUGUACAUGACAGAGCCCAUUGAAAGAAGUACCUGCAUAGAGAGCGUGAAGGAAGUUGAUGGGAAGAGCCUGGUGGUCCCCUGUGACCAGGAGGGGCCUGGAGUGCUUGAGGAUGAGGAGGAGAAGAAAAUGGAAAGAAAGAGCAAGGCAAAUAUUUGAGAAUUCUGGCAAGCCUCAUGAACGAAAUCUUGGAUAAGAAGGUUGAAGAAAGGUGACAAUCUCCAAUAGGCCUUGUGUCUUCUCCUGCUGCAAUUGUGACAGCACCUAUGACUGGACAGGCCAACAUGGAAAUGGAUCAAUGAAGGUCCAGGCAUUUAGAGACAACUCUACCAGUGGGUAAAUGAUGGCCAAAAAACAACCUGGAGGGGGGAAUUCCUGAACCCACCCCCAUUAUGGACACACUGAGGCAGAAGGCUGAGGCAGACAAAAAUGACAAGGCUGUCACGGACCUGGUGGUGCUCUGGUUUGAAACUGCGCUGCUUUCUUCUGGCUUUUUCCUUGAGGACCCCCCAGACCCACUCCAACUGCAUC